rnacentral:rRNA from 1 species
GCACAAGCGGUGGAUGAUGUGGUUAAUUCGAUGCAACGCGAAAACCUUACCACCUUUGACAUGUACGGAACUCGCCAGAGAUGGCUUGGUGCUCGAAAGAGAACCGUAACACAGGUGCUGCAUGGCUGUCGUCAGCUCGUGUCGUGAGAUGUUGGGUUAAGUCCCGCAACGAGCGCAACCCUUGUCAUUAGUUGCUACAUUUAGUUGGGCACUCUAAUGAGACUGCCGGUGACAAGCCGGAGGAAGGUGGGGAUGACGUCAAGUCCUCAUGGCCCUUAUAGGUGGGGCUACACACGUCAUACAAUGGCUGGUACAGAGGGUUGCCAACCCGCGAGGGGGAGCUAAUCCCAUAAAACCAGUCGUAGUCCGGAUCGCAGUCUGCAACUCGACUGCGUGAAGUCGGAAUCGCUAGUAAUCGCGGAUCAGAAUGUCGCGGUGAAUACGUUCCCGGGUCUU